rnacentral:lncRNA from 1 species
GGUAUAUAUUCAUUAAGAUUCCUGCACCAUUAUGAAAUAUUAAAACUUGCCUCUUUAAAUCACUUGUAUAAGUAUGAAUUUUAAUUUUAGUAUUUGAAGCUUUGCUAGGUGAAGAUUUCCAGCAGCUCAAAAGUUCUUAUGGUCAAUAUUGGCAGAUUAAGUAGGGAAGUUUGGUACUAUGAGAAUGUUUGUUGGUCCUAAAAAGAUAACUUUAACCUGGAACCAAGGUUGAGCUAUUUCCUUAGUCUUAGUUAUAGACUUGGUAGUUUGAAAACAAGACAGAAUUUUUAAUACUUUAAGUAGUACAAAGAUUUUAAAAUUAAACUUUUUUGUCCACUCUCAAUAUAAAUUGGGCCUUUUUCCUAUAAGAAUUCUUGAGUAAUUUCAGGGAUCUGUAUUACAUAUAAGUAAAUGUUUCAUUCCCCU